AAAAAAUGCUUUCUUUCCUUCUCAGCCCACAGUUUUAGAAGAAAGCCGAAGAGUGUGAUCUACGGAGCAUGCUGCGCUUGCCAGGGGUGUGGACGCAGAGUUCAAGCACAAAGGGCAGGCAUUGAUUUCAUACUUCUGAUAGAUUCUUUGUGGACUAGGCAAAAGUUGAAGAAAGUGAUCAGCAACAGCAGGGGAAAUUUUCAAAAAGGUAAAUGAAGAAUUCAGAGCCUAAACCCAAGUUUAAGACAAGAUGCAAAAAAAGGAAAAAAAAAUCAAAGAGCUUGGAACAGAAUUCUGGCAGCAGUAAACCUGGGAACAUGAGCCCACAGGUUGCCCUUAAAUUUCAGGAGCUCUUUCACCGCAUUCACAGGCAGAUGGAGGGCCAUGCCCACCACCAUCUCUACCCACGCCCUCUCUACUCAGAGGAGUUGUUCCUCCUUCUCCAACUUCUUUACCUAGAAUAAGUGGUAAACCAUCACCACCACUAUCACCUUUGUGGGAGGACCUCCUUCUCCAAAAUCACCACUUGCUGUCUCUUAUGGAAUAAAGCAGAAAUAAAAGUAUGCA
rnacentral:lncRNA from 1 species